CACAUUUCUCCAUGCAUAAAGUAUUUUUGUAUGAGAUUUUUUGCACCAUUCUGAUAUUGAUCAACCCUUCUCUAAGUUUAUAAGAUAAAGAUAAAGUUUGAUUUAAAAUUUAAUUCAAAUUUGAUUUAAAUUGAUGAUAAGGAUCAACCAACACUUGAAUUUGAACCGAAACUACUUUAUUCUUAUCCUUAUCUUCCAUGGGAUGCCAAUCUUAAAAGGAGAUCAGUUUUGUGCAAGAUUAGAAGUAUUUUUUUGGCAUGAGAAAUCUAAGGGAGG
rnacentral:lncRNA from 1 species